GAACUGAAGAGUUUGAUCCUGGCUCAGAUUGAACGCUGGCGGCAUGCCUUACACAUGCAAGUCGAACGGCAGCACGGGAGCAAUCCUGGUGGCGAGUGGCGAACGGGUGAGUAAUACAUCGGAACGUGUCCUGUAGUGG
rnacentral:rRNA from 1 species